rnacentral:lncRNA from 1 species
AUCUGGAGUGCUGGAGUUAUCCUGUAUAUUUUACUUUGCGGUGUUCCACCUUUCUGGGCAGGUUUGUCUCUUUUACCAGUAUUUAUAUUUUGAUUCUUUACAACUUGUAUAGGAGUUAAAGUGGAAAAGGGAUGUAGAAAAUAAUACUCCCAUUGGAAUGUUUUGCUUAUCAAAUAUCUCUGAUUGAGAUCAUCCUGAACAAAAGUGUGCCUGCUGGUGUACUUGCUCAUAUUAUUAGUAUUUGCUUCUCAUAGUUUCAAAACUUUUUUCCUGUAGAAACUGAACAAGGGGUAGCACAAGCAAUUAUUCGAUCUGUCAUUGAUUUCAAGAGGGAUCCUUGGCCAAGAGUUUCUGAUAAUGCGAAGGACCUGGUAAAGAAAAUGCUUGAUCCUGAUCCAAAAAGGCGGCUGACUGCCCAGGAAGUGCUUGGUAAUUACAGUAAUAUGAUAUCUUAUACAAUUGAAAGAGCCUUAUAUGACAAGUUCUUACCAACUCUUUCUGUGUAGAUCAUACUUGGAUACAAAAUGCCAAGAAGGCCCCAAAUGUCCCACUUGGUGAGACUGUGAGAGCAAGGCUGAAACAAUUUUCCAUAAUGAACAAGCUGAAGAAAAGAGCCCUUGGGGUAAUGUUUUUUAGUUUACUUUUCAUUAUAAAGUUAUUGAUGUCCCAUAGUUACAGAAAUGUUGGCUACUUGUAUCUUGUGUGAAAGUUGCCCUAUAUGCUAUGUCUGAACUUUUGAAUAUUUUAUACAUAGGUUAUAGCCGAGCAUUUGUCAGUUGAGGAAGUAGCUGGCAUAAAAGAGGCAUUUCAAAUGAUGGACACUGGCAACAAGGGCAAAGUAACCAUAGAAGAGCUUCGAAGUGGUGUACAACAGCUUGGGCAGCAGAUUCCUGAUCCAGAUCUUCAAAUACUAAUGGAAGCUGUAAGCAUCAAUUUGUGCUUGGCUAACUUGUCCUUACUUUUAACUGUGGGUUGGAUGAUUACAUGCCUAACUCUGCAUCAUGUUAAAUCUUAAGAAGCAAACUAAAACCUGAGCUGCAAUAUUCAUUGCAAGGAUUCAGCUAAAAAUAAGAAUGUAAAGAAGUUCUGGCUGGGGGUUGAGUAUCCCAGUGAGUUUUAGGAUUUCUUGAACUGAUCAACUGAUUGAUUUCUGAUUCCUACAGGCUGAUGUUGAUGGUGAUGGAGCUCUGAACUACGGAGAGUUUGUUGCAGUUACUGUUCACCUUAAAAGGAUGGCGAAUGAUGAGCACCUACAUAAAGCUUUCGCAUUCUUUGAUCAAAACCAAAGUGGUUUCAUAGAAAUUGAAGAAUUGCGAAAUGCUUUAAAUGAUGAUGUUGACGCAGGUGGUGAGGAAGUCAUCCAUGCGAUUAUGCAUGAUGUGGACACAGACAAGGUUAGAAUCACAGUUUUGAGACAAUUAACUUCAAAAAGUUUUAUCCUUAAUCCAAAAAGAUUUUAUCUCAGCAUACAUGACUGGAAGGCUCUAUUUUGAUGCUGAUUAUGAAUCAUGAUAUCAUAUUUCAGACUUUCACGGUCUUUCUGGACUUUUGACAUCCCUUCGAGAUUUCCCCUUAUACUACCUUGCCAUGUAUUGGUUUUUGAACUGAGGCUAGAUCAUCUUAGCUAACUUUCCUUUAUCUGCUUGCCUAUUGAUGCUAGAAAUUGUAGUUUUUAGUUGCUUUCUAUUGUGAAAAAUACUUAUCCUGAGAACAGAAUGGUUCGGUUACUCCAUAUUCUGUCGCUUUGUUCAAUCAAGCAUCAAGAAUUGCAAUAUUACCUCUUCUUAGUGUCACAACCUCUUUUGUUGCUGAAGAAGAUACUAUUGGAACUGCGAGUCCCAAGGCAAACCAGAAUGAUUACCUGGAAACAGGUUUAUCAAUCAAUGGUGAAACUAAACAGUUGAUCCCCAAAAGGGGUAUGCCCCAUGCCUUUUUUUUUCCGGUUACAAUGCCUACAUCUUUUUUACACAAUAUACUGAGCAUGCAUUCUGUAAAGACUUAUAGAAUAUGAUUUCAUCAAGUUUUCCUCUUCAUUACAAGAUAUUCUUUUACUGGUUUAUGAAAACUUCUUAUAUGAUAGUUUUUUCUUCUUCUGUUUUCUUUGUCAGGUACUGACCAGAAUGCAUACAACUCAAAACCAGUUGGUGCAAGCUUUGAAAUAGUUACAACCAAUCAUCGAAAGAGGUACAUCCCGUCUGCGUCACCAGCAAUGGUAAUUGGCAGCAUCCUUAGCCUCAUCCAAGCCAUAUUCCUCAUAUCAGCAGCAAAACCUCAAUUGAACUUUAUGGGGUCAGUUCUG